rnacentral:rRNA from 1 species
GACGAACCGUGCGAACGUUGUUCGGAAUUACUGGGCGUAAAGGGCUCGUAGGUGGCCAACUAAGUCAGACGUGAAAUCCCUCGGCUUAACCGGGGAACUGCGUCUGAUACUGGAUGGCUUGAGUUCGGGAGAGGGAUGCGGAAUUCCAGGUGUAGCGGUGAAAUGCGUAGAUAUCUGGAGGAACACCGGUGGCGAAGGCGGCAUCCUGGACCGACACUGACGCUGAGGAGCGAAAGCCAGGGGAGCAAACGGG